rnacentral:misc_RNA from 1 species
GAUGAAGAACGCAGCGAAAUGCGAUAAGUAAUGUGAAUUGCAGAAUUCAGUGAAUCAUCGAAUCUUGAACGCACAUUGCGCCCCCUGGUAUUCCGGGGGGCAUGCCUGUCCGAGCGUCAUUACAACCCUCAAGCUCAGCUUGGUGUUGGGCCCCGCCGCCCCGGCGGGCCCUAAAGUCAGUGGCGGUGCCGUCCGGCUCCGAGCGUAGUAAUUCUUCUCGCUCUGGAGGUCCGGUCGUGUGCUCGCCAGCAACCCCCAAUUUUUUUCAGGUUGACCUCGGAUCAGGUAGGGAUACCCGCUGAACUUAAGCAUAUCAAUAAGCGGAGGA